rnacentral:rRNA from 1 species
UCGAGGGGUAUAGGUUUUCGGACCUAGAGACCGGCGCACGGGUGCGUAACGCGUAUGCAAUCUACCUUUUGCAGCGGGAUAGCCCAGAGAAAUUUGGAUUAAUACCGCAUAGUAUAGAGCCUUGGCAUCAAGGCACUAUUAAAGUUACAACGGCAAAAGAUGAGCAUGCGUCCCAUUAGCUAGAUGGUAAGGUAACGGCUUACCAUGGCAACGAUGGGUAGGGGUCCUGAGAGGGAGAUCCCCCACACUGGUACUGAGACACGGACCAGACUCCUACGGGAGGCAGCAGUGAGGAAUAUUGGACAAUGGGCGCAAGCCUGAUCCAGCCAUGCCGCGUGCAGGAUGACGGUCCUAUGGAUUGUAAACUGCUUUUACACAGGAAGAAACAACGCUACGUGUAGCGUCUUGACGGUACUGUGAGAAUAAGGAUCGGCUAACUCCGUGCCAGCAGCCGCGGUAAUACGGAGGAUCCAAGCGUUAUCCGGAAUCAUUGGGUUUAAAGGGUCCGUAGGCGGUUUAGUAAGUCAGUGGUGAAAGCCCAUCGCUCAACGGUGGAACGGCCAUUGAUACUGCUAGACUUGAAUUAUUAGGAAGUAACUAGAAUAUGUAGUGUAGCGGUGAAAUGCUUAGAGAUUACAUGGAAUACCAAUUGCGAAGGCAGGUUACUACUGGUGGAUUGACGCUGAUGGACGAAAGCGUG